rnacentral:lncRNA from 1 species
UGCAGUACUCUUUCAUAGAAUAAACUGGAAGGGGUUUUAUUUCUCUCCCAUAUUUUCUAAAAUAAUGUGCUCCUAUUUAAAGAAUGAUUAUCACCUGUAUACCCAUUUUUAGCUUUUAUUUACCUGCAAUAUAUAACUCUAUAGCUGACAGCUAGUAUACAACAACAAUCUGGAAGUAAAAACUAAAGAGAACAUUAAUCAAAGUUGUAACUAACAGAUGUAUGAAGGC